rnacentral:rRNA from 1 species
UUAGUAAUUUAGUUGCUAUGUUAAAUUAAAUUGGGAUAUUAAUUAUGUAUUAUGAUAGAUAAAUUUAUGUGCUAUAGUAAAUUGUAUUGUGAAAGAUUUUUGAAAAACUGAAAAGAAAUUUAAGAAAAAGUAAUGAAAUGUACCUUUUGUAUCAGGGGUUAAUAAUAAAAAUUAAUUAUUUAUUUUUCUCGAAAUGUUUUGAGCUAGUUAUUUGAAUUUUAAUAUUGUUACAUUAAUAUUAAAUAAAUUAACUAGAAAUGAAAUUUUAUUCGAAAAAUUUGAUAUCUAGUUAAAUUAGAAAAAUUAUAUAUUUUAGGUAGGUUUAAAAAUUUUUAUGAAUUACUAAUUUACUCAUUAGGGAUAAGCUUUAUGAGAUAAAUAUAAAAAAUUUUUUUGUUUAUUGAGGGUUUAAAAAUUACUAUUUUAUUUGUAAUAAAAUAAUUUUUAAAGGUAAAUGUUUUAUUAGAUUUAUUUUAAUUAAUUAAAAUUAAAAGAGUUGAUAUUAAUAUUAGUAUAAUUUUAGUAAUAUGUUUACAUUGAAUUUUUAUUUUAUUUAUAAAUUGAAUUUAAAGGAAUUAGGCAAUUAGAAUUUUUGAAUGUUUAACAAAAACAUAGUAUUUUGAGUGUGAUGAAAUAUAUAACCUGCUCAAUGGAUAUUAUAAAUUGCUGUGGUAUUUUGACUAUACGAAGGUAUUGAAAUAAGGCUUUAAUUGAGUGCUAAAAGAAUGGUUGAACAAGGAUUGGCUUUCUUUAAAAUCAUAAUAAAAGUUAAUUUAAAAAUGAAAAAGUUUUUAUUAAUUUUUGGGACAAGAAGACCCUAUGAAUUUUUAUUUAGAAAUUUUUUGAUGUUUUUAAUUGAAAAAAUUAAGAAAAAUUUAAAUUUAAUUGGGGUGAUUUUUAAAUAUAUGUAACUUUAAAAAUAGGAGUAAUUGGAACCAAAAAUUUUGGUUCUUUGAGUAAAAUACUCUAGGGAUAACAGCGUUUAUUACUUUGGAUAGUUCAUAUAGAUAAAGUAGUUGCGACCUCGAUGUUGGAUUAGGAUACUUAAGUAAUGAAGAAGUUACAUUAAGAAGUUUGCUCAACUUUUAAAAUCCUACAUGAUCUGAGUUCAGACCGACGUGAGUCAGGUUGGUUUCUAUCUAAAUAAUUUAAAUAGAUUUACUUUAGUACGAAAGGAAUUAGUAAUUUAAAUUAUUUUUAAAAAUAAUUUAUUGUUUUAA